rnacentral:rRNA from 1 species
ACAGAGGGUGCAAGCGUUGUUCGGAAUUAUUGGGCGUAAAGGGCGCGUAGGCGGUGCGGUAAGUCUGCGGUGAAAUCUCCCGGCUCAACUGGGAGGCUGCCGUGGAAACUGCCGUGCUUGAGUGUGGGAGAGGUGAGUGGAAUUCCCGGUGUAGCGGUGAAAUGCGUAGAGAUCGGGAGGAAGGCCGGUGGCGAAGGCGGCGCUCUGGAACGUUUCUGACGCUGAGGCUCGAAAGCGUGGGGAGCAAACAGGA